rnacentral:rRNA from 1 species
CCGUGAUAAAGUAGCAUAAUCACUCGUCAUUUAAUUGGUGACUGGAAUGAAUGGUUACACGAAUCUUUAACUGUCUCAAGAAGAAAGUUCAAUUAAUUUGAAAAAACAGUGAAGAUGCUGUUAGCAAAAUUGUAAGACGAAAAGACCCUUUCGAGCUUUACUAUAAGCUUAUAGAAAAAAUCUUUAAUAAAAAUAUAAUGAAAACAAACUGUAAGCUAGUUAGUUUGGUUGGGGCGACCACCUCUAAAACAGUAUCAGAGGAAAUCUAAAGGUAUAAUAGUAAUAUUAAUUGCCUUACUGUAUACAAACAAGUUAAUCAGUUACUAUUAUGUAGGAUAUAAUGACCCGUUGAAUUAAUUUCAAAAUUCAACGACCAUGAAAAAAGUUACCGUAGGGAUAACAGGGUAAUAUUAUCAAAGAGUUCAUAUCGAUGAUGAU